GCCCGGUGGUGGAGCGCCUAUCCCUGCAGCGGCUAUUGCGAGAGAUGGAGCGAGGGCUAGAUGAGAUGGAGCGAGGAGACGGGCUGCCCCGAGGAGACAGUGCUUCAAAUCGGGGAGGUUCAGGUUCUGCCACCACAUUCGCAAUUAUAGUGGAAUUUUUUCCCUGUAAAGCCAAG